ensembl:lncRNA
GUCACUUUAUUUAGUCCCAAUGGUUAGCAUAGAACGUUGUAGUCUUGAUAAACAUUAGAAGCCACCUGGCAGUUAGUUGGAGCGGAGUCCCCUGAGGGAAUCUGGCAGAACGUUCUGGAUUGUAUUUGCGUAACCUCGAGCCGCUGCCAACGGAAACAAUUUUUCAGUCGGUUUCCAUUUGGAAUUGUUGCCCCUUAUCUUAAACAACUUUAAGUUUGAUAUUAAAUAAUAAAUUUAAUUUAAAGGGCGCCUUUCAAGACAUCCAAGGUCACCUUACAGAGCAUAAAGUUAUCAUAAAUCGUUUAAAAACAAGACAUUGUUGAAAAAUAAUAAUGGAUAAAUAAAACAAAAACAAGACGAAACAAACAAUGAAGACAGUGAUCAGUUAGACGUAAAUACAUACUGACACGUACGUCGUACAAUAUCUUGAUAAUUUUCGAUGGUUGCGCCGUACUUCUAACCACGUUGACGGGACUCGCGCUGCGUACGAAACGGCCUUCUACUUGCGGGCCCAUUUUUGACAUCAGUGAAGGCUGUAAAUCAUUUCAAGCUGGAAGACAUUUUGACAGUUCUUCAACGGAACCCAACACCUGAAUAUGGCUGAGUAAAUUUGUUUUAAUAUCGAUACUGCUUAGUGUUUGUUACUUCAGCUUUUGUACGUUCUAAAUAUCUGCGGCCAUUAAUUGCCGCAGAAGUUAAACCCUACCCAAUGGAAUGACGUUAAACAACGACUUUGUUGCAGAGUUACCAACUGGAUAAUAUCAAAGCUAAAAUAAUGGCAGUUUUUCUCACGUUACAGUAGAAGAUUAUCCAGAACUGUACAAGGUUAAAAAGGUAACAUGUAGUUUGUCCCAAGGUGUCUGCCUCCUCACCCAGAGCCAGACCUCCACCUCCUCACCCAGAGCCAGACCUCCACCUCCUGUCAGAAGACCUCCAGAACAGUAUCUGAAAGGCGAGGCUGAGAGGCUGGGGACCGAGGCUUGUGGUGCCAGGAUGGACCGGAGACUGAGGCUGGAGACCAGGGGCCUGCAGCACCGGACCAGAGGACCAGGAAUCCAUGUCUGGAGGAGCCGUGCUGAUGGAGGAGCCGUGCUGAAGGAGCUGAUGGAGGAGCCCUGCUGAAGGCCCUGCCUGGUGGAGGAGCUGGUGGAGGCCCUGCCUGGUGAAGGACGUCUGUCGUGGGGUAGAUGGAGCUUGACUCUGAAACCAGGACUCUGUCUGAGGAGAGCUGCUGGAGGAGCUGAGACGCUGGAGGACGCCUAGGAAUCGACCAACAAGGAUUCCUCAACGUGUUUCUGGAGCGGAGACGUUGGGGCCCUGUUUGUUCCAGACCAGGACUCUG